GAUGAACGCUGGCGGCGUGCCUAAUACAUGCAAGUCGAGCGAACAGACGAGGAGCUUGCUCCUCUGACGUUAGCGGCGGACGGGUGAGUAACACGUGGAUAACCUACCUAUAAGACUGGGAUAACUUCGGGAAACCGGAGCUAAUACCGGAUAAUAUAUUGAACCGCAUGGUUCAAUAGUGAAAGACGGUUUUGCUGUCACUUAUAGAUGGAUCCGCGCCGCAUUAGCUAGUUGGUAAGGUAACGGCUUACCAAGGCAACGAUGCGUAGACGACCUGAGAGGGUGAUCGGCCACACUGGAAGUGGGACACGGUCCAGACUCCUACGGGAGGCAGCAGUAGGGAAUCUUCCGCAAUGGGCGAAAGCCUGACGGAGCAACGCCGCGUGAGUUAUGAAGGUCUUCGGAUCGUAAAACUCUGUUAUUAGGGAAGAACAAAUGUGUAAGUAACUUUGCACGUCUUGACGGUACCUAAUCAGAAAGCCACGGCUAACUACGUG
rnacentral:rRNA from 1 species